rnacentral:rRNA from 1 species
UUGAAGGAGGAGUCUGCGGCCCAUCAGCUAGUUGGUAAGGUAAUGGCUUACCAAGGCAAAGACGGGUAGCUGGUCUGAGAGGAUGAUCAGCCACACUGGUACUGGAACACGGACCAGACUCCUACGGGAGGCAGCAGUGGGGAAUUUUCCGCAAUGGGCGAAAGCCUGACGGAGCAAGACCGCGUGAGGGACGAAGGCUCUUGGGUUGUAAACCUCUUUUCUCAAGGAAGAAGCAAGUGACGGUACUUGAGGAAUCAGCAUCGGCUAACUCCGUGCCAGCAGCCGCGGUA